rnacentral:rRNA from 1 species
UACCAGCACCCCGAGUGGUCGGGACGAUUAUUGGGCCUAAAGCAUCCGUAGCCGGUUCUGCAAGUCCCCCGUUAAAUCCAGCUGCUCAACAGAUGGGCCGCGGAGGAUACUCCAGAGCUAGGAGGCAGGAGAGGCAAGCGGUACUCAGUGGGUAGGGGUAAAAUCCGUUGAUCCAUUGAAGACCACCAGUGGCGAAGGCGGCUUGCCAGAAUGCGCUCGACGGUGAGGGAUGAAAGCUGGGGGAGCAAACCGGG